CCCUUAGAUGUCCGGGGCCGCACGCGCGCUACACUGAAGGAAUCAGCGUGGCUUUCUCCCUGACCCGAAAGGGUUGGGAAACCCGUUGAAUCUCCUUCGUGAUAGGGAUUGGGGCUUGAAAUUGUUCCCCAUGAACGAGGAAUUCCCAGUAAGCGCGAGUCAUAAGCUCGCGUUGAUUACGUCCCUGCCCUUUGUACACACCGCCCGUCGCUACUACCGAUUGAACGGUUUAGUGAGGGCCUCGGAUUGGUCUCGCCCGCUCUUUACCGGGCGGCGCCGUUGGUCGAGAAGACGCUCGAACUUGAUCGUUUAGAGGAAGUAAAAGUCGUAACA
rnacentral:rRNA from 1 species